AAUGAUAUGUUUAUGGGCUCUCAUUCUAUUGGGUUCAGCCAUAUAUUUUGGGCCUCUUGUUACUAAUUUGUUUCAUAUUGCUAGUUUGUUGCAACAGUUUUUGAUGUGUUGGAUAUUUUGGAGGGUGUAAAGUGGUAGUAUCAGGGGUUGAAAUGGGCAUCUUCCAAUUCUUAUGGUUCUUUGUGUAACCUUUCAAGUGCAGCCAUAUAUAAGAGUUCUCUCUCUCAUUCGGUUAUUAAUUCACUACAGAAAUCAUUAUCUUCUAUAUAUUAAAUCUAGGGUUUCAUUAUCCUUCAUCUGGUUUUGUAUGCGUAUCAGUCCAUAUGAUGAGUUGAUCUCUUUCAAGUUUGGUUGAAGCUACUGAAUCGUUUUGGAGUCACUGUGCAUCAGAGUUUCUACAAGUCUUUCAGGAGAUUAGUUCUUUCUACUCUGUUAUUUAUUUGUAUCCUUUGUAUUGUAGUUGUUGUUGUUAGAUCUUUGAUAGAUCUGGUGAUCAUUGUUCCUGAACAUCUGAUUGUUUGUAUCAGAUGUUUAUUGUUCUGUAUUCUGUUAACAGAUCUUACUAUUUGUAAGAUCUAGGGUUUUGGGGGGUGUUUUUCGGUUUGGGUAAAUAAUAAAGUUUUGUCACCGUUUUUGUCGCUUCUUUGUUGUUCAGUAUUGAUUGAAUGUUUGGAUUGUUGUUUUCUCAUACCAUUUUUUGACAUGGUAUCAGAGCCUAGGCUCCGAUCUAUGGUCGAUAUUGAUUCUGGUGUUCUUCCGCUAUAAUUUUUUGACGAUUUUUUUUUGGUUUGUAGAUCUGAAUCCCUUGGUUGCUUAUUCUCUAUUUCUUGACAGUUUUUUUUUUGUGUUCAUUGUGAGCUCUUGCAUGAUACUUUUCUUUUUAAUGAUUACGGCAGUUAUUGUGUUGUUAAUCUGCAGCUAGAGUUGUGAGAGUUUUUUUUCUUUGUAUUUGGUUCAUAGAUCUGUUGAUCUUAAGUGUUGAUUGUCAAGGUUUUGAGUAUAUAGGAUAGUUUCUCGUUAUUGGUCUUUAAGUUUAAGAGAUUUAAGUGCUACGGAUUAGGGUCAUGUAUUUUGUGUUCUCGUGUUUUGGGUCUGAAUCUAUUUUUUUAAUAAGUGUUGUUCUGUUUUGAUCCUUUGCUUGAAGUGUGCAGAUUGGAUUUGAUUAGAUCUAUUUGAUUAUUGACUGUAGCUAAUCUGAUCUUUUGUUUGGAGUUAGGAUUUAUGUUCUUAGAAACCGGUUGGGUUAUUGUACGUGUGAUACUGAAGUUGUAACCCUAGAUCAAGGGUUUGAUGUGCGGCUGAAGGUUUGUUGUUGGGUCUUGUGAUUCAAUCGUAAUGGUGUAGAUGUUUUCUUUGUUCUGAAUCGUGUGAUUCAACUCUGUUGUUUGGACCGUUGUAGUGUUUUCUGAAUAUUGUCCGUAUGUCUUAUUGUUUUAGUGUGGUAUGAUUAGUCGAACCUUGUGGUUUGAGUGUUCUUUAAUCUGUUGAUCUAUCAAGAUUGUUCUUGAUGUCUAUGUCUGCCUUGCUUGAGGUCUAUAUGUUGAGAAUCUUUGUCUUGAAUGUUGUUAAAAUGUCUUUGGUUUGCAGUCACUAUGUCUGCUUGUCUAUAGUUUUGUUUGUAUGGUUAGUUGAGCUGUGUGGUUCAUGUUUAACCAAAGUUUUGACAAGAUUAUUUUGUAUAUGUGACAGCCUUGUAUGUUUUCUCUUGUGAGAAAUAUUGUUCUGGUUGCAAAUUGUAUAACUUUGUGAUUAAUCAGGAUUUGUAUGGCUGUGUCUUAUAGUCUUGUGUAUGUCUUGAUAUUCUCAGUCUUGUUACUUGUAUGUAUGUGAUGUUAGCCUUGUAUAUUUCUUUUAUGUAAGAGAUAUUUUUUUUUGUUGGUUAUAAAAGCAUGUGACUGUGCAUUUUGCCAGAGUUUGUGUAGGCUAUCAUUGUUGUCUAGUGUUCUUAGUUAGAACUGUUUCUCUGUCUUGUUGACUGUUUUUUAUAGAGAAUUCUUUGAUUUGUUGUUAGUGUUUGUGUUUUCUUCAAAGGAUCUCUUGUCUCGUAUUGUAAUUGUCUGGAUUCCUUGUAUAUCUGAGUUGGAAUAUUGUUUCUUGAAUUUCUAUUUUCUUGGUUUAUUUCUCUAGGUUGUUGUGAAUAUGACUGUUACAGGUGGAUCAGUUAGUAUUCUGUGUUAUAUAGUUCUUUGAUAAAAACUUGCUGAUAACUUUGUUUUACCUGUUAAAGCUUAGUAAAAAUAUCAUAUCAAUUUGUAUGUAUCCUAAUUUCAUGAGAGGUCUUCUCACUUUGAAAUAAAUAUGCAUAUUCUGUGAAAAGGUUUUUUGCUAGUAUUAUUGAACUUGAAAAGGUUCAUAUAGAUGUUCAGGUUGCGUAGAAAGUGAGUGUUAACUGAUGAAAGGAACUUGGUAUUUUUAGACGUGUUUGCCACCUGGAUGAAGGGGGCAUGUUAAAAAUGUUGUAAAUGAUAUUUUCAGGCUGUCAUUCAGGUUGCAAAAUGGGUAUUAUUAACAUGUAUAGUAUAUGAAUGUUGGGUAUGUUUGAUUUGUUUAGACCCAAUUGAAUGAAGGGGGGAUGUUGAAAUGAUAUGUUUAUGGGCUCUCAUUCUAUUGGGUUCAGCCAUAUAUUUUGGGCCUCUUGUUACUAAUUUGUUUCAUAUUGCUAGUUUGUUGCAACAGUUUUUGAUGUGUUGGAUAUUUUGGAGGGUGUAAAGUGGUAGUAUCAGGGGUUGAAAUGGGCAUCUUCCAAUUCUUAUGGUUCUUUGUGUAACCUUUCAAGUGCAGCCAUAUAUAAGAGUUCUCUCUCUCAUUCGGUUAUUAAUUCACUACAGAAAUCAUUAUCUUCUAUAUAUUAAAUCUAGGGUUUCAUUAUCCUUCAUCUGGUUUUGUAUGCGUAUCAGUCCAUAUGAUGAGUUGAUCUCUUUCAAGUUUGGUUGAAGCUACUGAAUCGUUUUGGAGUCACUGUGCAUCAGAGUUUCUACAAGUCUUUCAGGAGAUUAGUUCUUUCUACUCUGUUAUUUAUUUGUAUCCUUUGUAUUGUAGUUGUUGUUGUUAGAUCUUUGAUAGAUCUGGUGAUCAUUGUUCCUGAACAUCUGAUUGUUUGUAUCAGAUGUUUAUUGUUCUGUAUUCUGUUAACAGAUCUUACUAUUUGUAAGAUCUAGGGUUUUGGGGGGUGUUUUUCGGUUUGGGUAAAUAAUAAAGUUUUGUCACCGUUUUUGUCGCU